UGUCUGUGUUGGAGGUGUCUGUGUUGGAGGUGUCUGUGUUGGAGGUGUCUGUGUUGGAGGUGUCAGUGUUGGAGGUGUCUGUGUCGUGUAUGUCUGUGUUGGAGGUGUCUGUGUUGGAGGUGUCUGUGUUGGAGGUGUCUGUGUUGGAGGUGUCAGUGUUGGAGGUGUCUGUGUUGGAGGUGUCUGUGUUGGAGGUGUCAGUGUUGGAGGUGUCUGUGUGGUGUAUGUCUGUGUUGGAGGUGUCUGUGUUGGAGGUGUCAGUGUUAGAGGUGUCUGUGUUGGAGGUGUCUGUGUUGGAGGUGUCUGUGUUGGAGGUGUCAGUGUUGGAGGUGUCUGUGUGGUGUAUGUCUGUGUUGGAGGUGUCUGUGUUGGAGGUGUCAGUGUUAGAGGUGUCUGUGUUGGAGGUGUCUGUGUUGGAGGUGUCUGUGUUGGAGGUGUCAGUGUUGGAGGUGUCUGUGUGGUGUAUGUCUGUGUUGGAGGUGUCUGUGUUGGAGGUGUCAGUGUUAGAGGUGUCUGUGUUGGAGGUGUCUGUGUUGGAGGUGUCUGUGUUGGAGGUGUCAGUGUUGGAGGUGUCUGUGUGGUGUAUGUCUGUGUUGGAGGUGUC
ensembl:lncRNA